UACUUAAUAUUUUAAUACUUUCCUAAUUUCUCCAUAGAUGAAGUUGCAAUGUUCCUUCGCGAUAAAAAAAAAUGUAUGAGAAAAUCUAUUCUAAAGAAGCGACUCUCGGUACGUCUCCUGCAACCAUGACCCUUCUCAAAGAAGAAGACCUCGCCUCCGCGAAAUACGAAUUCCUCUUAAUCGAUUAAACGCCGUCUCAAAGUCGAAGCCUGCCUCUGCUCGCUAUCUGAGAGACUGAAUCGCAUGGGCAAACGUUUCUACCACGGUUGAAUACUUAUGGGGACAACGGUAAUUGCUCUGGACGCGAGGAAACUCGGUUUUAAGUGGUAUAGACCAGCGGAUGAUCAGCCCUCCGCGGCCGAACGAAACGUUCGUGCGAUCAAUCACCGAUGAGGCAACGCGUCGGGUUUCUCGCGCUGGAGUCAGCCCCGAGACAACGUGGACGUCAAAUUGAAAUGAAUUACAGGCUGUGGAAAAUAACGUCACGGGCAAGGAGCAGCUCGCGUUCCUUCCGGGCAAAUACUAGUUUCGCAAUGGCCGAUCUCGACCACGGGCCGCUUCUCGCUCAUUAGUCGCGGCGUCAAACCUUACAAGGUCGGUGUGGCUAGUUUCCCAAGGAGAUGCUUAAUGAAUAUACAUCUCCCGGCCUUCCGAAGAACUUGCACGCAUUGUCUCUCGAUGUUUGCAUUCUGUGGCUGGUUGGCAACGAUCACUUGGCAACGACAAAUCGAGAGAUUCGCGAUCGAUUCCGCGCGAGUCCUGAACCGAGGUACUAUUUAUAGGAAGCUACGGAUGAUUUUAUAUGGACUCGGCGAUUCGGGAAACCACAACCAUUUCUCGUGGAAAACUUUAGCAGAUGAUCGCGCAAACCAGAGCCUUCUUAAACAUAUCUUGGAAACAUGUUUGCGUUCGCAGAAACACUAAUGGCCACGAUUCUGUUUAUUUUUCUCCUCGGUGGAAAUAAUAACAGACUUGAAAAAUUAAUUCGAGGAAUACCGUGAUUGUUUUUCACGCGUAAAUCGCGUGUUAGUAAUCCAUCAAGUUCCGCGGGGUUGUACGAGAAACGAGACAUCCUUUUAAGCGAGAAUGUCGCUGUUGUGACCAAAUUCAUCCGAUAUUUUACUCUACUAUUCCGCUAAUCUAUUUCUGAACGGGGCAUUCGAUGUGUUGCAACCGCGUGAAAUGUCGCAUUGACGUCGAAAAUCUCGAAACAGUUCUCGCUUCGAUAGUUGGAUUGAAACAAAGUUUUAAUUAUAGAUCCAUCGAUCGUUGCAUUCGAUCAUUGGCAUCGUAUAUAAGUCGAGAUGACAUCACGUUAUUAGUAAUAUUAUUAUUAGACGAAAUGGUCUGGCGAAACCUAAACAAAAAAUCUCUUCCGCUGAUUAUGGCGAACAGGAACGAUGCUCGAGAAUAUAGUGCGCCAAAGUAAUUUGAAUGAUGCUUAGGAACGCUAUGCGGCACCCUCUACGUGAUUCGAUUCUCAAACGAUGAUCGAAUAGCGCGAUAGAGAGACUAUGGCUUUAUCGUACCUCGAAAGUAUCAAAACAAAGAAGAUGGAAAAGGUUUCCUACGUCUGUAGCGUCAGUGUCAUGGCCACCGAUUUAUGUCAUGCCUAUCAUGCACGUGUGUCGGCAAUGGAAUCGUUUCACGCGUAACUCGAUAAAUUGACAGCGCACCGUUAGAUGCAGAGUCGAUUCAAAGAAUCUCUGGUUACACAUUUUAUAUAAACACGCAUGCGUUAUGUA